rnacentral:rRNA from 1 species
AUGGAGUACGUCGCCGCGCCGAGCCUCCACAAGUUCCUGCGGAACAGGGGCAGCGGCCAGCCGCUCCUGGAGUCCACCGUGCGCGCCAUCAUGUGGAAACUCCUCACCGGUGCCAGGACGAUGCACGACCGCCACGUCGUCCUCGUCCACCGCGACAUCAAGCCCGGCAACAUCCUUGUCGGCCAAGACGGGGAGCUCGUCAAAAUCUGCGACUUUGGGCUGGCGAUCUCCAUGUCCGAGCUGCCGCCGUACAACCAGGCCGGCACGCCGUUCUACGUGGCGCCCGAGGUGCUCCUGGGGAAGCGGGGCUACGACGCGCUCGUGGACACGUGGUCUAUCGGCUGCGUCAUGGCCGAGAUGCUCACUGGUAAGACGCUGUUCCUCGGCGAUGAUGAUGACAACGCCGCAGACAAUGAGAUCAUCCAGCUCUGGAGCAUCUUCCGCUUGCUCGGGACGCCGGACGAGAGGACGUGGCCGGGGUUCACGUCGCUGCCGCUCACCGAAAAGGCGCUGAAACUGCUACCGCCGGGGCACCAGCACAACAAGCUGCGCGAUCUGUUCCCUGAAGAGAAGCUGUCCGAGCAUGGAUUCCAGGUGUUGCAAGGCCUUCUCACGUGCAACCCCAACCAGCGACUGACGGCGGUCACGGCGCUCAAGCACCGAUGGUUUGCUGCUCCUCGUCCAGCCGCCGCCGCUGCGAAGGUCGACGCUUUGUCGUUCCCGAAAAAGAAGGCACCAAGGAUCAAGUUCAUCCCGCCGGCCAUGCCGCAGAAGAAUCUACUCAAAAUUCCACUCGCCGUGUGGAACGCAGCUCAACGAGUCUAG